CUCUUAUCUCUGAAAUUCCUGCGAAUUGCUUUGGUCUAGUGCUUGUUUUAAUUUGAAUUUAAAUCGUUGUUUGCCAUUCUGUUUACUUUUUAGUUUUCGAAACAAACCAUCUUUCGUCUUAGCUUUAAUUCAAUCCUCACAAAUUCAUAGAGUAACACUGGUCCUCUGGAUUUCGAAUCCUUUAUAUUACAUCUACAUCACUGUUCUAUUGCAGCACAAACUAGGAGUAUAUCUAGUGAGAAUCAGUACAUAUGGAUUCAAUCCAUUUAGCAUGUCUCGUAAUCAUUCGUUAUGGCCUGUGAUCUUGACUCCUUAUAAUUUACCCCCUGGUAUGUGCAUGAAGACUGAGUACUUGUUCCUCACAAUACUGAAUUCUGGGCCAAAUCAUCCGCAUGCUAGUCUCGAUAUCUUCCUCCGGCCUCUUGUCGAGGAAUUAAAAGAAUUAUGGUCAACUGGGAUCAAUGCAUACGAUGUCUCUUUGCAGCAGAAUUUCAAAUUAAAGCCUGUGCUGAUGUGGACGAUAAGCGACUUUCCCGCGUAUGGCAUGUUGUCAGGAUGGACGACCCAUGGUAGAUUGGCUUGUCCAAUUUGUUUGGACGAUACAAAGGCAUUCUAUCUGCCUAAUGGAAGAAAGACGUGUUGGUUUGAUUGUCAUAGAAGGUUUCUCCCUCAUGGUCAUCCAUUACGAAAGAAUAGAAAAGACUUUUUGAAGGGUAGACAAGCUAUAAAUGAGUCACCACCAGAGUCUUUGACAAGUGAACAAGUUUAUAGUGAGCGCAUCGAAACUGUCAAUCCUGCAAAAACGUCUGACUGCGGUGGCAGCGAUCAUGAAAAAAAGAUGCCUGGAUAUGGGAAGUGGCAUAACUGGCACAAAGAAAGUAUAUUUUGGGAGUUGCCUUACUGGAGGAACCUCAAUCUCAAUCUUGAUGUGAUGCAUAUAGAGAAGAAUUUCUUUGAUAACAUCAUGAAUACUCUAAUGAGCGUGACGGGUAAAUAGAAAGACACUAUAAAGUCAAGAUUGGAUAUAGAAAGAUUCUGUGAUUGGGCACACUUGCAUCUUGAUAAAAAUGGGCAAGCUCCUUUUCCGGUAUACACAUUGGAAGAAGCUGAAAAAAGAAGAUUAUUGGAAUGUGUGAAAGCAGUACAAUUCCCAGACGGUUAUGCGUCAGACUUAGCUGCUUGUGUUGAUAUUGAAAAAGGAAAGCUUGCUGGCAUGAAGAGUCAUGACUGCCAUGUUUUUAUGGAACGGCUACUUCCAUUUAUCUUUGCAGAACUCUUGGACCGUACCGUCCACCUUGCAUUAUCAGGUGUUGGAGAAUUCUUUCGUGACUUAUGUUCAAGAACUUUGCAAAAAAACAGGGUCCAAAUCCUAAAACAAAACAUAGUCCUAAUCUUAUGCAAUUUGGAGAAGAUUUUUCCACCAUCAUUUUUCGACGUAAUGGAGCACUUGCCUAUACAUCUUCCUUAUGAAGCUGAUUUAGGAGGUCCUGUGCAGUAUAGGUGGAUGUAUCAUUUUGAAAGGUUUUUCAAAAAACUGAAAGCAAAAGCGAAGAACAAAAGAUAUGCAUCAGGAUCGAUUGUUGAAUCAUAUAUCAACGAUGAAACUGCUUAUUUUACGGAGCGCUACUUUUCCGAUCAUAUACAAACAAAAUCAAGGUUAACAAGAUUUGACGAAGGUGAAGUCCCUGUAUAUGAUGUCCCCGGAGUUCCUGAUAUAUUUACUCACGUAGGUCGGCCAAGUGGGCAAAUGCAUGAAAUAUGGCUUUCAGAAAAAGAUCACAAAAUUGCACAUGCAUAUAUUUUUGCGAAAUUGCGAUUACUUUCAACCAUUUGAGAGGAUGUUCGAAGAUUACAUUUGCACAAAAUAUCCACAACUCUCUGAUAAAGAAAUUUCUGCAAAAAGAGCGGAUGAAUAUCCUUCAUGGGUGAAAGAUUACGUUACUUACUGGAACACUACAAAUCCUUUUCCUAUUUGGGUUCAGGAUUUAGUUCACGGACCGGUCAAUAAAGCCAAAACCUGGCCGAUUUACUUUACGAGAGGAUAUUUGUUUCAUACACGGCACCAUGACAUGGGACGGAAGACAUGUAACUUUGGAGUGUGUGUUAAAGGAGAAAACUACACCGAUGCAUCUGAUGAAGCUGAUUUUUACGGGAUCUUAACUGAUAUCAUACAACUCGAGUAUGAGAGGAUGACAAAACUGAAAAUUACACUUUUCAAAUGUGAGUGGUAUGACCCUGUUAUUGGUAGAGGCACUCGAAGGAGCAAUGGUGGUCUCGUUGACAUUCUUUCAUCAAGAAAGUACAACAAAUACGAACCAUUUAUUCUAGGUAAAAAUGAUAUAAAUAUACAAAUCAAUACAUUUAAUGUAUUUAUUUUUUAAAUUAGAUUUGUAUUGUACAG